rnacentral:rRNA from 1 species
AUGAGUAAUGAGUGGGAGGAGAUGUUUCCUAUGGUUAACAUGAAGAAACUCGUUAGGGAGAUUUCUGAUCACAAUGCUCUCUUAUUGUACUCUGAUAACCAUGUUAUCAGAGCCCCACAAAAAAGAGAGUUCAGAUUUGAAAUAAGCUGGCUAAAAUCUGAGGAAUUUCUUCCUCUAGUUAGCAAAAUCUGGAAUCAGAACGUGAAUGCCACCGAUCCUGUUGAUAUUCUAAAUAUCAAGUUAAAAAGAUUUAAGAAGUUUUUCAAAGGCUGGGGAUCGAAUAAGUUCGGUCAUGAAAAGAAAAGGAAGCAGGAGAUUAGAGAAGAACUUGCUUUCAUUGAGAAAAUAGAAGAGGAGGGGGAGAUAGACCAUGAACUGUUUUGUAGGAGGACUGGUCUCCUUGUGGAGAUGAAUGAAAUUCUUGUCAAUGAGGAGCUUUUUCUGCUGCAGCAAUCUAAUGAAAGAUGGCUGCUUGGGGGGGAUCACAACACCGCUUAUUACCAAAAAAUUGCUAACGGUAAUAAGCGGAAAAACACUAUACAUUUGCUUCAUGCUGGGAGUACGGUGAUUGAGGGGACUGAGAAACUGCUGGAGCAUGCCACUGAUUUUUACAAAAAUCUUUUUGGGCCGGCUCAGGGAAACAUAUUCCACCUUGACCCGGAUAUUUGGGGGGCAGAAGAAAAGCUCGAUGAGCUGGACAACGAGAUUCUUAAUAAACCUUUCACAGAGGAAGAAGUGAAGAGAGCCUUGUUUUCCAUGAAAAGUAACAGGGCCCCUGGCCCGGAUAAUAUCCCCGCUGAAUUUUACCAGCAUUGCUGGGAGAUAGUGAAGAGCAAUAUCAUGAGACUGUUUACUGCCUUUCAUGCUGGGGAACUUGAUGUCUGUAGAUUGAACUAUGGCAUUAUUACUUUACUGCCUAAAAUCAACGGGGCCAAUAAGAUUCAGCAGUUCAGGCCGAUCUGCCUGCUUAGAUGUCCCUAUAAGUUGGUAACUAAGGUGCUGGAUAACAGGGUGACCCCCUUUGCUGAUAAGCUAUUUAAUAGACACCAGAAUGCAUUUGUCAAGCAUAGAAAUAUCAUGGAUGGAGUAUUAUCUUUGCAUGAAAUUCUGCAUCAUACUUACAUCAAGAAGAAGGUGGGCAUUGUCAUUAAGCUUGCUUUCGAGAAAGCAUAUGACAAAGUGAAUUGGGACUUUCUUUUGGAAUCUCUCGAGAUGAGAGGGUUUGGUCCCACAUGGUGUGGGUGGAUUAAAAGUGUUUUGGUUGAUGGCACAGUUAGUGUGAAGUUGAAUAACGUUGUGGGGCCAUAUUUCAAGAGCUUUAAAGGGGUUAGACAGGGGGAUCCGGUGUCACCCUUUCUUUUUAAUAUUGCUGCCGAGUGCCUGUGUAAAAUGGUGCUGCAGGCACAGAAGAAUAAUUUAGUUCUUGGGCUCGCUCCGGACCUUGUUGAAAAGGGAGUGGCCAUAUUGCAAUAUGCAGAUGACACGGUCUUGUGCAUUGAUCAUGAUCUGGAAAAAGCUGUGAACAUGAAGUUGUUGUUAUACAUUUUUGAGCUCAUGUCUGGGCUCAAAAUCAAUUUCCAGAAAAGUGAGAUCCUGUGUGUAGGGGGGGAUGACGAUAUCCUUAAAGCAUAUGCUGAUAUGUUCGAUUGUCAAAUAGGGCACUUUCCCAUGAAAUAUCUGGGGGUGCCAGUGACCUUUUCUUCUUUAUGA